ACGGCCACAUUACGUUGAAACACCGAUUCCCGUAUGAUCACCGAAGUUAAGCAACGUCAAGUCUGGUCAGUAUCUAGAUGGGUCAUCGCUUAUGAACACCAGGUACUAU